AUUGAGCGCUGGCGGCAUGCUUUACACAUGCAAGUCGAACGUUAACAGGCCGCAAGGUGCUGACGAGUGGCGAACGGGUGAGUAAUGCAUCGGAACGUGCCCAGUCGUGGGGGAUAACGCAGCGAAAGCUGUGCUAAUACCGCAUACGAUCUAUGGAUGAAAGCGGGGGACCGUAAGGCCUCGCGCGAUUGGAGCGGCCGAUGUCAGAUUAGGUAGUUGGUGGGGUAAAGGCCUACCAAGCCGACGAUCUGUAGCUGGUCUGAGAGGACGACCAGCAACACUGGGACUGAGACACGGCCCAGACUCCUACGGGAGGCAGCAGUGGGGAAUUUUGGACAAUGGGCGCAAGCCUGAUCCAGCAAUGCCGCGUGCAGGAAGAAGGCCUUCGGGUUGUAAACUGCUUUUGUACGGAACGAAACGGUCUGGGUUAAUACCCUGGGCUAAUGACGGUACCGUAAGAAUAAGCACCGGCUAACUACGUGCCAGCAGCCGCCGUAAAAC
rnacentral:rRNA from 1 species